CGUCUUUUAGAUGACGAAGUGGUUGAUGCCAUGCUUCCAAGAAAAGCUUCUAAGCUUCAGGUAACCAGGAACCGUACCCCAAACCGACACAGGUGGUCGGGUAGAGAAUACCAAGGCGCUUGAGAGAACUCGGGUGAAGGAACUAGGCAAAAUGGCACCGUAACUUCGGGAGAAGGUGCGCCGGCUAGGGUGAAGGAUUUACUCCGUAAGCUCUGGCUGGUCGAAGAUACCAGGCCGCUGCGACUGUUUAUUAAAAACACAGCACUCUGCAAACACGAAAGUGGACGUAUAGGGUGUGACGCCUGCCCGGUGCCGGAAGGUUAAUUGAUGGGGUUAGCGCAAGCGAAGCUCUUGAUCGAAGCCCCGGUAAACGGCGGCCGU
rnacentral:rRNA from 1 species